rnacentral:rRNA from 1 species
UUGCCUACGGGACGCAGCAGUGGGGAAUAUUGCACAAUGGGGGAAACCCUGAUGCAGCAACGCCGCGUGAGUGAUGACGGCCUUCGGGUUGUAAAGCUCUGUCUUCAGGGACGAUAAUGACGGUACCUGAGGAGGAAGCCACGGCUAACUACGUGCCAGCAGCCGCGGUAAUACGUAGGAUGCGAGCGUUAUCCGGAAUUACUGGGUGUAAAGGGAGCGCAGGCGGGACUGCAAGUUGGAUGUGAAAUACCGCAGCUUAACUGCGGAGCUGCAUCCAAAACUGUAGUUCUUGAGUGGAGUAGAGG